rnacentral:tRNA from 1 species
GCCUGGGUGGCUCAGUCGGUUGAGCGUCCGACUUCGGCUCAGGUCAUAAUCUCACGGUUCGUGGGUUCGAGCCCCACGUCGGGCU